GACGAACGCUGGCGGCGUGCUUAACACAUGCAAGUCGAACGGAAAGGCCCUGCUUUUGUGGGGUGCUCGAGUGGCGAACGGGUGAGUAACACGUGAGUAACCUGCCCUUGACUUUGGGAUAACUUCAGGAAACUGGGGCUAAUACCGGAUAGGAGCUCCUGCUGCAUGGUGGGGGUUGGAAAGUUUCGGCGGUUGGGGAUGGACUCGCGGCUUAUCAGCUUGUUGGUGGGGUAGUGGCUUACCAAGGCUUUGACGGGUAGCCGGCCUGAGAGGGUGACCGGCCACAUUGGGACUGAGAUACGGCCCAGACUCCUACGGGAGGCAGCAGUGGGGAAUAUUGCACAAUGGGCGGAAGCCUGAUGCAGCAACGCCGCGUGCGGGAUGACGGCCUUCGGGUUGUAAACCGCUUUCGCCUGUGACGAAGCGUGAGUGACGGUAAUGGGUAAAGAAGCACCGGCUAACUACGUGCCAGCAGCCGCGGUGAUACGUAGGGUGCGAGCGUUGUCCGGAUUUAUUGGGCGUAAAGGGCUCGUAGGUGGUUGAUCGCGUCGGAAGUGUAAUCUUGGGGCUUAACCCUGAGCGUGCUUUCGAUACGGGUUGACUUGAGGAAGGUAGGGGAGAAUGGAAUUCCUGGUGGAGCGGUGGAAUGCGCAGAUAUCAGGAGGAACACCAGUGGCGAAGGCGGUUCUCUGGGCCUUUCCUGACGCUGAGGAGCGAAAGCGUGGGGAGCGAACAGGCUUAGAUACCCUGGUAGUCCACGCUGUAAACGGUGGGUACUAGGUGUGGGGUCCAUUCCACGGGUUCCGUGCCGUAGCUAACGCUUUAAGUACCCCCGCCUGGGGAGUACGGCCGCAAGGCUAAAACUCAAAGGAAUUGACGGGGCCCCGCACAAGCGGCGGAGCAUGCGGAUUAAUUCGAUGCAACGCGUAGAACCUUACCUGGGUUUGACAUGGAUCGGGAGCGCUCAGAGAUGGGUGUGCCUCUUUUGGGGUCGGUUCACAGGUGGUGCAUGGCUGUCGUCAGCUCGUGUCGUGAGAUGUUGGGUUAAGUCCCGCAACGAGCGCAACCCUUGUUCACUGUUGCCAGCACGUUAUGGUGGGGACUCAGUGGAGACCGCCGGGGUCAACUCGGAGGAAGGUGGGGAUGACGUCAAGUCAUCAUGCCCCUUAUGUCCAGGGCUUCACGCGUGCUACAAUGGCUGGUACAGAGAGUGGCGAGCCUGUGAGGGUGAGCGAAUCCCGGAAAGCCGGUCUCAGUUCGGAUUGGGGUCUGCAACUCGACCUCAUGAAGUCGGAGUCGCUAGUAAUCGCAGAUCAGCAACGCUGCGGUGAAUACGUUCCCGGGGCUUGUACACACCGCCCGUCAAGUCAUGAAAGUUGGUAACACCCGAAGCCGGUGGCCUAACCGUUGUGGGGGAGCCGUCGAAGGUGGGACUGGUGAUUAGGACU
rnacentral:rRNA from 1 species